rnacentral:lncRNA from 1 species
GUUUUGCUUCUGGAAAAUAAGAUUCAGGACCCUGCCCAGUUUCCACUCAUCCUUUAUAGGGGGAUGUUCGUGAUCACCACCCUGUGCAUAAGCCUCAGGCCUUGGCUACCUCAAGUUUGGGGUCACCACCCAGGCAAGCAUCACCCUCAACCUCCCCAACUGUUGAGUCGAGCACAUGAGGUGGACACAGAGGGAGCGGCUGUUGUGAAAUGAGAUGGCUGGAGAUUGGACUUGCCAUACGAUGGGCUUUGAAUCCCCUGCUCAAGCUUAGAACUCUUUCUUGUCUUCCAGAGGCUACUGGUAUCUGUAGAUGGAUCUUUCUGAUUCCCUUGGUCGUCCGCAGUUUGAACCAGUCUGUCAAGCUCCUCUCCUUGGGCCGUAUGUGCCUCUCCUACCCCUGCAAUUCCACGUCCCCUUGGAGAUCAUCACACCAUUCACCAUGUCCCGGGUGCUGAAGCGCCGGCCUUCGUGGUAAACCUGGACGUCCACCCUGCCAUGGUCUGUCUGACCAUGAGUAAAAGGGCCAUGGGAAACCAGGUGUCUUCUUCAGCUGCAGGUUCCAUGGCCAUCCUCAUCCCCUGCCUGGUCCUCUCUCUGG